CGCGCAGGUGGUUUCUUAAGUCUGAUGUGAAAGCCCACGGCUCAACCGUGGAGGGUCAUUGGAAACUGGGAGACUUGAGUGCAGAAGAGGAUAGUGGAAUUCCAAGUGUAGCGGUGAAAUGCGUAGAUAUUAGGAGGAACACCAGUGGCGAAGGCGACUUUCUGGACUGUAACUGACACUGAGGCUCGAAAGCCAGGGUAGUGAACG
rnacentral:rRNA from 1 species